rnacentral:rRNA from 1 species
UGCAGUCGAACGAGAAGCGUUCUUCGGAACGUGAGUACAGUGGCGGACGGGUGAGUAACACGUGGGGAACCUGCCCUCAAGCUGGGAACAACCCGCCUAACGGCGGGCUAAUACCGAAUGUGGUUGUCAGUCCGCAUGGAAUGACAAUUAAAGGUGGCCUCUCCUUGGAAGCUACCGCUUGUGGAUGGCCCCGCGCUCAAUUAGCUAGUUGGUAGGGUAACGGCCUACCAAGGCGACGAUUGAUAGCCGACCUGAGAGGGUGACCGGCCACACUGGGAUUGAGAUAAGGCCCAGUCUCCUACGGGAGCCAGCAGUCUAGAAAUUUGGGCAAUGGGCGAAAGCCUGACCCAGCGACGCCGCGUGGGGGAUGAAGCUUCUCGGAGUGUAAACCCCUGUUAGGUGGGACGAAAGCCCGUAUACGAACAGUAGGCGGGUUUGACGGUACCACCAGAGGAAGCUCCGGCUAACUCCGUGCCAGCAGCCGCGGUAAUACGGGGGGAGCAAGCGUUGUUCGGAGUUAUUGGGCGUAAAGGGCGUACAGGCGGUGGUGUCAGUCAGAUGUGAAAUCCCCCGGCUCAACCGGGGACCUGCAUUUGAUACUGCAUCACUUGAGUACAGGAGAGGAGAGCGGAAUUUUCGGUGUAGCGGUGGAAUGUGUAGAUAUCGAAAAGAACACCAGUGGCGAAGGCGGCUCUCUGGCCUGAUACUGACGCUGACGCGCGAAAGCCAGGGGAGCAAACAGGAUUAGAUACCCUGGUAGUCCUGUCUGUAAACGUUGGGCACUAGGUGUUGGAGGUAUCGACCCCUUCAGUGCCGAAGCUAACGCAUUAAGUGCCCCGCCUGGGGAGUACGGCCGCAAGGCUG